rnacentral:rRNA from 1 species
UACGUAGGGGGCAAGCGUUGUCCGGAAUCAUUGGGCGUAAAGAGCGUGUAGGCGGCUUUACAGGUCCGUUGUGAAAACUCGAGGCUCAACCUCGAGACGCCGGUGGAAACCGUAAGGCUAGAGUCCGGAAGAGGAGAGUGGAAUUCCUGGUGUAGCGGUGAAAUGCGCAGAUAUCAGGAGGAACACCCGUGGCGAAAGCGGCUCUCUGGACGGCAACUGACGCUGAGGCACGAAAGCGUGGGGAGCAAACAGG